rnacentral:lncRNA from 1 species
GCUACAUCUGUAUCAGUGAAGGAUAUAAGCCCUCUUGCUUAUCUGCUGGAUGAAAUCAAGACAGACCAGAGCCUAAAAAUCCAAAAGUCUGCAUUGCCACUGUCAGAGAGAAAAAUGAUACAUCACUUCUGAUGGAGAAGCUGGAGGAAUGAAGCUUUUUUCUGUCCUUGUGAGAUGCUGAGCAAGCACUCAAAGUGUCCUAAAAUGACGGCUGUGUGUCUGCACUCUACCCAAGGUGCAGAAUGAGGGUGAAGGUGACUGACAGCAAGGAACAGAAACAUUAAAGGAAACACAAAAGGAUCCAACCCUGCUUUAUGCUCAUCUACCCCUAUAUCAUCCUAGCCUGAAAUAGGUGGAUCCGGACUUUUGCUGGACUGCUCUUCAAAUGGUUUCGGAGAGGUGGGUAAAAAUCUGUUCUGAUUUUCAUUGGAAUAGGAAGCUGAGGUGU